UACGAAGGGUGCAAACGUUGCUCGGAAUUAUUGGGCGUAAAGCGCGCGUAGGCGGCUUGGCAAGUCGGAUGUGAAAUCCCUCGGCUCAACCAAGGAAGUGCAUCCGAAACUGAGCAGCUAGAGUACGAAAGAGGGUCGCGGAAUUCCCGGUGUAGAGGUGAAAUUCGUAGAUAUCGUAAGGAAGACCAGUGGCGAAGGCGGGUCUCUGGACAGUUCCUGACGCUGAGGCACGAAGGUCAGGGGAGCAAACGGG
rnacentral:rRNA from 1 species